UUAAGCGACUAAGCGUACACGGUGGAUGCCCUGGCAGUCAGAGGCGAUGAAGGACGUGCUAAUCUGCGAUAAGCGUCGGUAAGGUGAUAUGAACCGUUAUAACCGGCGAUUUCCGAAUGGGGAAACCCAGUGUGUUUCGACACACUAUCAUUAACUGAAUCCAUAGGUUAAUGAGGCGAACCGGGGGAACUGAAACAUCUAAGUACCCCGAGGAAAAGAAAUCAACCGAGAUUCCCCAGUAGCGGCGAGCGAACGGGGAGCAGCCCAGAGCCUGAAUCAGUGUGUGUGUUAGUGGAAGCGUCUGGAAAGGCGCGCGAUACAGGGUGACAGCCCCGUACACAAAAAUGCACAUGCUGUGAGCUCGAUGAGUAGGGCGGGACACGUGGUAUCCUGUCUGAAUAUGGGGGGACCAUCCUCCAAGGCUAAAUACUCCUGACUGACCGAUAGUGAACCAGUACCGUGAGGGAAAGGCGAAAAGAACCCCGGCGAGGGGAGUGAAAAAGAACCUGAAACCGUGUACGUACAAGCAGUGGGAGCACGCUUAGGCGUGUGACUGCGUACCUUUUGUAUAAUGGGUCAGCGACUUAUAUUCUGUAGCAAGGUUAACCGAAUAGGGGAGCCGAAGGGAAACCGAGUCUUAACUGGGCGUUAAGUUGCAGGGUAUAGACCCGAAACCCGGUGAUCUAGCCAUGGGCAGGUUGAAGGUUGGGUAACACUAACUGGAGACCGAACCGACUAAUGUUGAAAAAUUAGCGGAUGACUUGUGGCUGGGGGUGAAAGGCCAAUCAAACCGGGAGAUAGCUGGUUCUCCCCGAAAGCUAUUUAGGUAGCGCCUCGUGAAUUCAUCUCCGGGGGUAGAGCACUGUUUCGGCAAGGGGGUCAUCCCGACUUACCAACCCGAUGCAAACUGCGAAUACCGGAGAAUGUUAUCACGGGAGACACACGGCGGGUGCUAACGUCCGUCGUGAAGAGGGAAACAACCCAGACCGCCAGCUAAGGUCCCAAAGUCAUGGUUAAGUGGGAAACGAUGUGGGAAGGCCCAGACAGCCAGGAUGUUGGCUUAGAAGCAGCCAUCAUUUAAAGAAAGCGUAAUAGCUCACUGGUCGAGUCGGCCUGCGCGGAAGAUGUAACGGGGCUAAACCAUGCACCGAAGCUGCGGCAGCGACGCUGAUGCGUUGUUGGGUAGGGGAGCGUUCUGUAAGCCUGCGAAGGUGUGCUGUGAGGCAUGCUGGAGGUAUCAGAAGUGCGAAUGCUGACAUAAGUAACGAUAAAGCGGGUGAAAAGCCCGCUCGCCGGAAGACCAAGGGUUCCUGUCCAACGUUAAUCGGGGCAGGGUGAGUCGACCCCUAAGGCGAGGCCGAAAGGCGUAGUCGAUGGGAAACAGGUUAAUAUUCCUGUACUUGGUGUUACUGCGAAGGGGGGACGGAGAAGGCUAUGUUGGCCGGGCGACGGUUGUCCCGGUUUAAGCGUGUAGGCUGGUUUUCCAGGCAAAUCCGGAAAAUCAAGGCUGAGGCGUGAUGACGAGGCACUACGGUGCUGAAGCAACAAAUGCCCUGCUUCCAGGAAAAGCCUCUAAGCAUCAGGUAACAUCAAAUCGUACCCCAAACCGACACAGGUGGUCAGGUAGAGAAUACCAAGGCGCUUGAGAGAACUCGGGUGAAGGAACUAGGCAAAAUGGUGCCGUAACUUCGGGAGAAGGCACGCUGAUAUGUAGGUGAAGUCCCUCGCGGAUGGAGCUGAAAUCAGUCGAAGAUACCAGCUGGCUGCAACUGUUUAUUAAAAACACAGCACUGUGCAAACACGAAAGUGGACGUAUACGGUGUGACGCCUGCCCGGUGCCGGAAGGUUAAUUGAUGGGGUCAGCGCAAGCGAAGCUCUUGAUCGAAGCCCCGGUAAACGGCGGCCGUAACUAUAACGGUCCUAAGGUAGCGAAAUUCCUUGUCGGGUAAGUUCCGACCUGCACGAAUGGCGUAAUGAUGGCCAGGCUGUCUCCACCCGAGACUCAGUGAAAUUGAACUCGCUGUGAAGAUGCAGUGUACCCGCGGCAAGACGGAAAGACCCCGUGAACCUUUACUAUAGCUUGACACUGAACAUUGAGCCUUGAUGUGUAGGAUAGGUGGGAGGCUUGGAAGUGUGGACGCCAGUCUGCAUGGAGCCGACCUUGAAAUACCACCCUUUAAUGUUUGAUGUUCUAACGUUGACCCGUGAUCCGGGUUGCGGACAGUGUCUGGUGGGUAGUUUGACUGGGGCGGUCUCCUCCUAAAGAGUAACGGAGGAGCACGAAGGUUGGCUAAUCCUGGUCGGACAUCAGGAGGUUAGUGCAAUGGCAUAAGCCAGCUUGACUGCGAGCGUGACGGCGCGAGCAGGUGCGAAAGCAGGUCAUAGUGAUCCGGUGGUUCUGAAUGGAAGGGCCAUCGCUCAACGGAUAAAAGGUACUCCGGGGAUAACAGGCUGAUACCGCCCAAGAGUUCAUAUCGACGGCGGUGUUUGGCACCUCGAUGUCGGCUCAUCACAUCCUGGGGCUGAAGUAGGUCCCAAGGGUAUGGCUGUUCGCCAUUUAAAGUGGUACGCGAGCUGGGUUUAGAACGUCGUGAGACAGUUCGGUCCCUAUCUGCCGUGGGCGCUGGAGAACUGAGGGGGGCUGCUCCUAGUACGAGAGGACCGGAGUGGACGCAUCACUGGUGUUCGGGUUGUCAUGCCAAUGGCACUGCCCGGUAGCUAAAUGCGGAAGAGAUAAGUGCUGAAAGCAUCUAAGCACGAAACUUGCCCCGAGAUGAGUUCUCCCUGACUCCUUGAGAGUCCUGAAGGAACGUUGAAGACGACGACGUUGAUAGGCCGGGUGUGUAAGCGCAGCGAUGCGUUGAGCUAACCGGUACUAAUGAACCGUGAGGCUUAACCUU
rnacentral:rRNA from 1 species